UAACAAUCAUUAACGGACCGGAGUUCUGCUGUGGCAACCCCUAACCGGGAAAAGCCAAAAGAAAAACAACAACAUGGUUCUAAAUCUAAUUCAGAUUUUUUGUAUGUUCAAAAGGAAUUCAAACUAUGAAUUUAGCAAUCAUGAACUGCUCAUACUGUGAACACCCUGUGCUUAAAUUUGCCUGCCCAAUCUGCUUAAAGAUGCCAUUAGGUGCAGGAGAACAUCUAGACAAAAACUAAGGAAAUCAGAGUUCCUGUUUUGUUGUAUUUUGUUGGUUUCUAUCCGACUCCUCAGAAUGCUGUACUGCUUUAACAAGAGAAUGUGUGGCACCAUUUCCCAAGCCUGGGUGUGACAUCUCUGUAUGGAAGUUAUAACGUGCUUCAUAAUGCUGUGAAACAAAUAUUUUUUUAGUGUUCAUAUUGCCUGAGAAGAAACUGGAAGAUUUUAAAGUGUUGUCACCAUUUUUCCAUUUUAUGUUACAGAACUGCUCAAUUACUUUGCUCAUUAUUAUAAUUUGGGGAAAAGGUAGUUGCUCCCUAGUAGAUUUGUUGUUGUGCCUGUUUGAACCUGUAUCUUCCCUCCUUCUUCAUAGACAGUUUUAAAGUAAAUUGUUAUAUUCAAAACCUUGUAGAGCACUGGAAUAAGCACAUUAAAUGCUAACUUGGGAGAUGUGCAGUUUAUCUGGGUGCUUUAAUGGAAUACCUACUAAAAGAUCGGGGGCAUGUAGAUACAAUAUGUAUGUGCCUUUGGGAGAGUGUUUCAGUUCCGUGAGGAAGACAACUUUGGAGAAGGAGUGUGUUUUGCCGCAAAAUCUUGAUAAUCAUUCUUCAUAUUCUUCAGUAGCAUAUCUGGGGCUUUUGUCUGUGUAUUUACAAGAUUAAUUAUAUUUGAGGAUGCACCGCUGGAUGGGCUCUCCCUUUGCUUGUUAUCCUUCAUAAAGCAUUAUUGGCUUUUUCAUUGCAGUCAUAGUGAAUAUUUGCAAUGUUCAACUAUUUGCGCUCGCAGUGUAGGGAAUGUGGUUUUAGCUUGUCUAACUUUCAGAAUGUUUGACAGAGGGUGUGUUAAUUAUAUAUAUUAUCCAGCUUCCCUCAGUGUGAUUAGGCCUAGUUCAACAGGCCUGUCUUUGUGCUCCUCCUACCAAAACCUCCCACCGUUGCUGUCCCUUUCUUUUGUACCAUCUCAACUAGCUGUAGCAGGUUUUACUGAAAAAGGCAGUCGAACUAUGCACAGAAUUCCAGCUGCAUCCUGACCAGUGACAGGAUAAAUUCCUGUUUGAAUAAAAGUUGGCCAUGAUCUUGUUUAUGCUUUUGUAGAGCAGUAUAUUCUGGUACCAUCAUUAGAAAGCAUGCUUGUUACAUACAUAGCCGUUUUCUGUAGGUGUACUGGGUAAAAUCAUUCGUUUUAUUCCAAAGAUCCUUGAUAGCACACAUAACUUCACUUGCAUAGACUAAACUAACUGAAGCCAAAACAAAUCUACUUAAACUAAAUGUUAAAUGUUCAUUUAUCAGCUCAUAGUUCCAAAAUCAGUUUUAUUACUCCAAAUAUAAAACAGUUGGCAUACAUAGAACCUUUGAGUUAGGUUUUACAAUAACAUAAAACAUACUAUUCAUUCUGUAAAGAAACAAAAAAGGAAGGAUUGCAAACCUUGUACUGCAUUAUGCUUAUUAGAUUUUUCUGACAAUACAAUAUCUGGUAAUGCUUCCUUGGCAACAGAUAUUGAUGUUAAUUUUAUUGUAGUCAACUCAGGUUCAAUGAGGGUCAAUAAAGAGGCAUUUCCUUCCAACCUUUUAGUAGAAGGUGCAGAGGAGGCAGACAGUAUUGAACAGGCAUGGCCAUGCAAGUAGUUUUCCAGAAACAUUUGUACGUCAAAGUUUGAAAUGUACUUUGAAUGUCCAUGAAAUAAUAUAUAUUUCUAAUUACUUUUUAGCAGAGAUUGACAAACAAUUGCUCAAUAUAGGUUUGGAUUUUGUAUCUUCUGUUUGUACAUCCGAAUUUCAAACUGCAGCAGACGUUAAAGCCUUUGUCAGAAACUUAAUUUAAAACAUUUGGUUUAGAGAUAUAGAUUUUACAGUAACUAUUGAAACAAAUUUCUCCAAUUUAUAUUUGAAAUAUCUACUUUCCAGCUCUCAUAUCAUAUCUCUGCUGUUGCUUUUGGAAAAGUUGUAUUAAAAGACUUACAUGUUAAUGUUAUGUCCAUCAUUAGAAAUCAUUAGAAAUACUAAAUAAUGUCUUACUAAAGCAGAAAAGAAGGCUUUAGAUAAUUUAAAGUAUGAUACAUGAUUAGUUAUAACUAAUGCUGACAAAGACAGUGCUGCUGUUGUUUGGGAUAUAGCAAAUUAUAAAACAGAUGCUUUUUUAUUAUUGGAUGAUAAAAAUAUUCCAAAUUUCUUUAGAUACCAUCUGUUUCUUUCAAACAAGAAACUGAUAUUUUUUAAUCAUUCAUCUGAUGAAGGGGUCACUGAUCUCAUUUUUGAGCUGGUGUUUAUGGAUCAUAGUGCACAAUACUUCUACAUUCUAGCAAAAAUACCAUCAUAUAAGUAUUCCCAGAGUUUAAGGAAAAGAUUCCUUAAGGAACCUUCCUUCUGACUUCUUAGAGAUGGUCAUAUCUUAUUUACCUACAUCAGUAAGGUAUCGAAAGACUCUAUGCAUGUCUUGCAAUUUCUGAAUGGUUUGCAAAUGGAAAAUUAAAUAUAUAUGUGUACUUUGGACAUGAAGUCUUAUGUACCGGCUUCCUUCUCUAUGCAACUUUAAAAAACAUUGGGAUUUUGCUUUGAAAGGUCUGAUUUACAGCAUCACACAUUUAACAGGUGUCUUACUGAAUUAACUAGAUGGGUACUUACGAAAAAUAUUUUUAUUUUCAUAAUACUUACCAUCUCUAACUGCAGGGGACAUCAAUGGGUACAAUUUUCACAACUAUUUAUGUAGAUCUCUUUAUGGGGCUUUAGAGGAACAUUUGAUUUAUGACAACAAUCACAACAUCUAUAUCCAUAUCACACACAUGAGGUGCUGGUUUUUAGAUGAUUUCUGGCUGGCAUGGAAAACUGACAAGACAGAAUUACAAUAAUUUGAGAACUAUCUAAUCAAAAAUAAACAGGUUAUUGAGCUGACCAUCGACUGCCAUCUAUUUACUAUACACAUUUUAGAUGUUUCAUUUAUGAAGAUUUCAGAUGGAAUGGUGUUUGCUUUGCUCUUUGGAAAAAAAUAGUACAAAAAUUACUUCAGGCAGGGAAUUGUCAUCCUCACCACACAAUAAUGAAUAUUCUAAAAAUCUCAUUUUUUAAGAGGAAAAGAAUUUGUUCACCAAAAGAGGAUUAUAUGAGAUUGUUCUGAGAUGCUAACUCACCAAUUUUCGCAUAGAGGGUACCCUAAAGAAUGGAUUAGUUAUGCAGAGAGCUCAGCUUGAGAGAUAUUCUAGGGAAACUUACUAGUAUAUAAAUCAGACACUAACUGUAAUUUUGGGCUAGGAUUUGUCAUCAUGUUUGGAACUAAUACUUAUAAAAUUGAGAAAUUAUCUUGAAAUAUUAGCUCUUACUGCAAGCAGAUAGGCAUACCAUUACCUUUUUUAUAGAAUGUAAUUUUAUUUAUAAAAGGGCAAGAGAUAUGGGUUAUCAUUUGAGCCAUUAUAAGAGGUAUGAGUCUACCAGAACAAGACAAAGUAUACCUACAGGUUUCAAACCAGUAGAAAGCAGCAUUUGUGUGAAUUAUACUAAUUGUUAAGUACAUUCUAAUGUGUCACAAGUUUUCAUUGAUCAGUACCUGUAAGGUUUUCAAAUUAGAUAAUGCUUUACUUGUGUAAGUAUAUUGACAAAAUAUUUAGCCACUUGUUUAUGUGGAACCUUCUAUGCAGGCAAAGCCUCCAGGAUAUUAAAAUUAAGAGUAGCUGAGUGUUUAAGUGAUAUACUUUGGAAAAGGACAAGUAGCAUCCUUUAUGGACAUUCUUAGACAAAUGCUUGGACAAAGUUCAUGUUUACUGCUAUAGACAGGCUUAUUACUUAUAGUCCUAAUAAAUUAAAAUGGCAUAAUACUCUGGAAUGGAAAGGGGAAAAACCCUUGGAUAGGGACUUGGGGUGCAUCGUUUAUAGCAGGGUCGAAAGAACAUGUUUAUAAGAGCAUCUAUCUAGGUAUUAUAUUCACACAUUGACUUACAUCCUUACCUCUUCAAAGCUCUCCACUCUGUUACUGCUGUACUAUUUUAUCUUCGCCUUAUUACCUGUGACUCCUCCAUUUCUACCUUGCACUACUGUGCUACUUACUCAUACAGAAUCACUUUGUAAAUACUCCCAAAUGACUGUUAUUCCUUUAUAAUGGGAAACUAAAUUAGUUGACUUUAACUGUAUAAAUCUGUACAUAUUGUGUUCGCACACCAUUGCUAUUGUAUAUUAUGUAUAUUAUGGUCUGCCUUCAUUAUUACUCACAGCUACUAACUGUUUUAUAUGCUUUUUAGUGAUAUACUAACUAAAACUGUGGAGAUUUUCUCCCUGUGCCUCCACUGAAAAUGGGUUCUUUGGGCCCAGUGGACUUUACCAGUAAACAAAUGCCAAUAAAUAAAUAAAUAGAUAAAACUAUUUUAAUCUUGACUAUUAUGAAAUAAAUUGUUUUAAUGUUCAUCUGUUGCAUGUUAGCCAGACUUUUUAAAUACAUAAAAUUAUUCAGUUUUAAUAAUUAGGUAUGUUGUUAUUUGAUAGUUACAUUGUUGUUUGUCACUAGUUGUUGCUGUUGUUAAAGGUACCCUAGCCUACCAGUAUUAACAUAUUUUUCUUUUAUCUUAGACAAAAUUAUCAUGUGAUAAAUUAUAACAUUAUUUAAAUGCAAGAGUCGCAUUAUCUUUGUAGAAGCAUUGAUGAAGGUGUAUUCACGUCAAAACUGGUUUAUAUUUUAAUGGUUCUACUAUGAAACACUAAAUUGCACAACCUCAGCCUUCCUAAAUGCUAAGAAAAUAAUGCCCAAAACUCAGAAAGAUAAAAAACAACUUUGCAUUUUUGUGGAAUGAGGGGCAGUUCAUACUUACAAGGGCUAAACACAUGAUGGUAAUGUAGGGCUAGGCUUCUAAAGAUCCUCGUAGAUCACCAGUGCCUACUAAGUACUUAUGAACCUAUGAAACCCCAAUGUGGGGGCAUGGACCCAUCCCCCCAAACCUGUAUAUGCCAACUCCAUGGUUGCACCAACUCAAAGAAGGAAAGUAUUGCCAGUGGACACUUAGAACUCACACAAGAAAUGAUUUCCUCUGGAAAACAGAUUAAUGUUUCUUUCCGCUGUUUUUCUUUUUCUUGAACAAGUGAUGCUUGAGGAAUUUCCGCUUGACCCUCUUUAGAGAAGAUGAUUUUAACUACUGUAUCUCUUACUGCAUGGUGCACUUUGUACCAGAAAAAAAUUGUUACUGCAACAUUUAUUGAUCUGUAGCAUCAGUACUUUUACACUGGGCUGUAGGAGCAGUUUUUAUGUUUGGAUUAAUAAAAAUGAUUUUUACAAA